CUAAGGCCUUUCCAGCAAAAGCGUGACUAGCGGCGUGGCAAACCGUCGCUUAUAGAAUAGCUCAACCCAUCCCCUGCACUAUCUCUAGUGAGCAAGCAAACUCCCCCUGACCCCCAGAUCGAAACGUUACGAUUCACUCCGGUGCUGCUUUCUGGUGGAGGUUGGGAGUAUCUCAACUAUGAAUAAGAAGUCGAAGAAGUAAAGACUCCCUAGAUCCGCCUUACCUACCUUCCCUUACUAACUAGUCAGGGCGAAGCAUUCUUAGCAUUAGUAGCUUUGGCACGAUAGACUC
rnacentral:lncRNA from 1 species